UAUUUUUCCUCUAAGCAGUUUCCUGACUGAAGGACUUCUAUAAAAUAAGAAUUUUCACACUCUGAAUAAUCAAAAAGUGAAAAAUUGCAAGAUUGGCAGCAAGCUAUUUUCCAUUGAAGUAAAACUCAGCCUACACAAAUUCACACUGGUUUCUGCUGGCAGGGAGUCUGCAGAGUAUUUAAACCCUUCAUAUCCCUGUCUGCAGAUGAACAGAAGAUUCUUGCAUCGGAAUAAACAACAAUAAACCUUCUUUUGGAAUUAAGGACCAUCUCAGAGGAAAACAUGAACAAAGGAGCUGGAAGCUACUGGCACAGAAGUUGUUAUGCCCAAAAUUUUCGUUCAAACAGAGACUGAACCAGAAGAUGAAGAAGACUGGAAACCACGCCAUACACCUUGUACAAGAGAGAGGAGCAAAAAGCAGAGUGGCAGGCAUCAGUCCCAUGCCUGUACUUUGAGUGACAGGCUUGAAUGCCAGCCUGUCCUCCCUCACAGAGCAUCCGAAACAUUAACUGGAGGAGGAGCUAGAGCUCAGGGCUCUGAGGUGAGCAGUCACUUACUAUGCAUUCUUGAUGCAUUAAAUUAAUAGUUGGAAAUCUGUAUAUAACAGAAAGACAUUUUCAGAAGGAGGUAAAAGAAAUCCAUUCCAGAGCUACUAAUAUACUUUGUUUAAGGCACACUAUCUGAAGAUGGAAAGUCAUGGUUCAAAUCUGUCAGAUUAUGUCAUAAACAGCUCAUCCGCAUACCCACAGAAGAGUACAGAGAGACAACAGCAGCAGGUGAAGCCUGAAUAAUACCUUGCUCUGGCUGGUCCCAGGCCCAUGCCAGGAGCCAGCAGCCCAUCUAAAAUGUGUGUUGACAAGACCAGAGGCACAAAUACAGGCAGGAACCCAAAUUAACAACUCAGAGUAAGGGACACCAUUUUCAGGUCUCUCUCAGGGCACUUACAGAAGAGCCUCAGUCCUGGUGUAUGGAAACCCACUGCCAUGAGUCAAUCAUGGAGCAUACUGCCAACAGAGGGGGGGUACGGUCUGGGGGUUCAGAACACAUUGUGGGGUGCAGAGGAAAAGCAUUUAGGAAUUACACAAUUUAUUGUGGGAUGUUUAUAGGAGGAGCUAAAGGUGGGGAAAAAGAGGGAUCAGUAUGAUUUGGGGAUGAAUGAGUAUGGGAAAAUAAAGGCAUGAAAGGGGUCAGUCACACAUAAACAUCUGACAGGUCAGUAAAGUUGACUGGCCAUGCCCUGCACUGGAUCAAUGCAACUUUUGCUUAUAAAACUGCUCUUCUAGCUCUUUUCCUGAAUGAAGGAUGCUCUGUCUGUGUUUAUGGUGGUGCAUGGGGGUGUACGUGCUGGCAACUAGCAUAGGACUAGGGGCCAAGAGGCCCUGUGAUGCCAGCACUGGAGGUGAGUGCUGGUGUGGCAUGUGCAUGUGACUGCUGACAAAGAUCCAGCUGGACCAGCUCCUGGGUAGGUGAAGAGGAGGCCUGAGAGGCCACUGGUGAACACCAAAUUUAUCAUGUGCCACCAGUGUACCUUUGCAGAAAAGAAGCACAUUUUCACUGUGAGGUUGACUGAACACUAGCAGAGGUUACCCACAGAGGCUGUGGAGUCAUAUUCAAAAGCUGUCAGGACAUGGUCCUGGGUGACCAGCUCUAGUUGGCCCUGCUUGAGCAGGAGAAUUGGACCAGAUGGCCUCCAGAGGUCUCUGCCAGCCUCAACCAUUCUAUGAUUCUGAGAUUCUGUAUGGGGUCCAAGUCUGUAUCUAAGGGCAAGACCACAGGAACAGCUGGAUAUUGGGGGAUUUGAGGAGCCCUGUCUCUCUAGGGUUGAGGCAACUGAAAAGCAUGAGGAUUCAGGACCAGCUACUGGUGAUAUCUCAAGUGCAUGUGCAUGUCUGUGUGUGCCUGUGAGUGGUACUGCAGCCCCAGAGCCUCAUAUAUUCAGGUGUCAGCAACUGGGGAGAUUCAGAUCCAGGGGUAGCUCAUGGGAAGGCCCAUGACUAAGUCCAUUUUCUAGAGGAAUCCAGAAUAUAUAUAUGUAUGUAUACAUGUAGGUGUAUGUGUGUAUUUCCCACUGAUAGACCUUCAUCCUGAUCAGAGAAGGGAGCAGGAUGAAGUCACUAGUACUAUUUGUGUUUGUGUGAGUGCUGAGUGUGUUGGUCUAUGAAGACCAAAGUGACAGCCACAUAUAUAUGUACUUAUGUGUUUAUAUAUGUGAGUUCACACAAGUUCACAUAAGUUCCCACUGGUUAUAUAUCCUCAGCCUUGCUGUUGGAUCAGCGUACAGGGAGCUGCUGCAGCCUCACCUGGAAUGGGAUACUGGAUUCAGCACGCCCUAAUAAUAUCAACAUAAAAGAAAUUUUCAUUUCAAUUGCCAGUAGGGUACUGAAGUCAUUGCAGCAUCUAACAACUAAGACCCACUUACUAGUGAAAAUAUCUCAUCCAUACUAGGCAAUAUAAUCAAGAUUUUUAUAUUUUGAAGUUAUACAAUCAUACCAGAGUAUCCAGAAAAAGGUUCACUUUUUUUUUUUUUUUUUAUGAACUGUAUAGGUUUUCAGAAAUGUUUCCCAAAAGGAAAAUUUCUACAUUCUCUAACCUCAAAAACAUCCACAGCUUGUCCUUGCAUUCAAAACGAAAAUAUAAUUUCACUAGAAGUUGAACAAAAUGUUGUCACUGAAGACUUUUAGAGAUCUGUAGUUAGCCUCACCUGUGGGAAACCUGCAUAAAUUUACUGUUUGCUGAACUUCUUCUCUUAUGGCUAUACAUAUUCAACAGUGGAAAAGUUAAAAAAAAGUUGUACUUUAGAACAGCUGAAUUUGCCAUUUUCCUUCAUUAUCAACAACAAAAAUUCUGUGUGGAAACUAUCAGAUUUUUUGUGCCAUUAUAUUUAUUUGUUUUAAAAAUAAAUAUAGACCUACCAAGAAAUAAGAUUUCAAUGUUUUAGUGUCUUUUUCCCAAACUGAACAUGAAUAGUUUUUCCCACCAGGUCCAGAGUCCACUAGAUUCUUAAUUAAAUUAGAAAUUCCUGCUGUUCUCACUUCAUUUCACAGCAGAUGUUGGCACUAACUUUGACAGUGAAUACAAGGAUUACUGUUUAAAAACUCCUUCAGUUACAGACAGACUAACACUGCCAAGUGUAAACUUAGUCUCCCUAUUGGAACGCUGAAACCAAAAGGAAAAGGAAGAUGACACUAAGACACAUAAAACAAGUAAAUCUGAGCCAGCUUGAGUCCAGGUGCAAUACAGUAUGCAAGCAUGUGCUGCAAUCAAACUAAUAAGCCUCUCCCAGCCUCAGUGCUUAUUAACUUGUUCACAACACUGAUUCAGCAUGAUUACAUUUCUUCCAUCUCCAAACUAGCAAGUUUGUGCUGUACUGUAGAGGAAUUUAACAAUUUCAGUCUUGGAUUAAGUAUUUUUGCAUUGUGCUUCAUUGCCUGAUUUAGACAUACAAUAACCUUGCAGUCUAAAGGACUCUUGGUUGUGGUUUUGUUUUUUUUUGUGUGUGUGUGUUUGUUUUUUUUUGGUUGGUUGUUGCUUUUGGUUUUUUGUUUGGUUGUGUGUGUUUUGUAUUUUUUUGUUUGUUUGGUUUUGGUUUUUGUUUUUUUCUAGCAACUGAGAACUAAGAGCAGGAAAAGGCAGAGAGCAGAAGAGGAAGCCUUGUCUGCUCUUGAUGGACAUAGUUGCCUGGUUAUUUUCUCUCACCACUAUCAUUAUUCAAUUGAGUUUCUGAUAGUUACUCCUAAUUUACCCUACUUUGAGAGUGGCUUGCCUCCUAAAGAUGCCAGUGCACUUUCUUCAGCAGCAGGAGCUUCCCAUGAUGUACUGAAACUACAUUUUCUCUCCUCUUUCUUUCUGGCAGCAUGCUGUGCCCAUCAGCUAACUAAGAGCUUCCAUCCCAGAGGAGGCUGCAUUUCAUUAGUGAUGUACUGUGCAUAUAUAUAGUUCAAAUCUGGUCUGAAGAUAAAAAUAUUAAUAAUUGGAUCAGUAGUGGUUUGAAUUCUUUAUGGCCUCUAUUUCUAUGCUGUCAUUGUCUCUCUGUGCAGUAUGAGAAUGUGCACAGAUCUCUGGCAUAAUACACUUUUUUUUUUUUUCCUGAGUAAGCAACAAAACCCUACAGGGUUUCGAGAGACCAUUUAUUUUUUUUUUUUUUUAAAUAAGUUUCUAGCUUACUUCAUUGCCCCGGUCUCAGGGAGCUUCAUAGCCAUAAAGGCUGCCAGCCUCUCUUCAGGACUUAAUAGGAAGUCUGCCAGCACACAGAUCAAUGUGGACGAGAUAAUGAUUACUGCUGUCAAACUACUCAUUUUUAAACGUGAAAUCUGGACUGCCUUUUGUUUGGUGCACUGUAUGCAAGAAACCCAAUUUUUCAUGUGAUCAAGGACACACUGAUGGAUAGUGCUUGAUAUGACAUUAAAUUAAGUGCUUCUUAAAGGCACCUUUAAAGGAAACUAUUACUGAACUAAUGAUGUGCAAGUGAUUGAACUUCUUCACUUCCCAUCUCUGUGAUGUCAUUCUGAUGAACAAGGAGACACUGGCAUGUGGCUGGUAGUUAAUGAAAGCAGAUUUUGGCCUGGCAAACAUCUGUCCUUCUACAUUUAGCAAAGUUCCCUGUAUUUAAUUUUUAAUAAUAGCUAAGGUUUAAAAAGAAAGACUUAAUAGCAUUUCUAUAAUAAUAAGCAUUCUGACACUUUCGGCACUUCAGUUCUUCAGCAAAGCCAUUAAUAUUAAUCUACCUAGGUGACUUCCCAAACCUUUCCUUAUAUUAUACCUUUCUAGAGAUAGUUAUCUUUUAAUACAGUUUUAAAUAAAAAAAUAAAUAAAUAACCUUAUUGAGAGAGAAAACUAGAACCUGAAAGGAGAGCUAAUUUCCUCUCUAAGCCCUGCACUGACUUUUUGAGUGACCAUGAGGAAAUUAAUUAAUUGACUAUGUUUCAAGUCCUGCCUUUAAAAUUGAAAUUGCAUUUUUUUCAUACAUUCCCUCUAUUUAAAUUCAUAGCUCUGUGAAGAAAGCACUGUCUCUUGCAGUAUAUUUUUAGAGUAUUCAAAACAAUGAGAUGCUUAUCUCUCACAUUUCAGGUAAAUCCUAAAGAUGUUAUUAUAAUGCAAAAAAUCAAUAAAAUAUACAUAGUCAACAUGUACACCAAGAAAUUAUUCCACUUUUUUCUUUGCCCGAUGUCUUUUAGAUAAAACAGUAAACCAUAAUUCAUAUUCAUGUUUUUCUACUGCUACAGAGGGCUUUAUGGAGCUUGGGAUGAAAAACAUAUCUAAAUGCAACCACACCUCCACCCUCAUCUCACACCAGUCUCUGUUCCUUUCUUUCAUUCUUUUAUUGAAACUUCAUAACAUAUUGUCAACUGCAAAGUGCUGGAUCAGACUCAGAAAAGCAGAAAAAUGUUCUCCUGAGAUAGUAAGGGAUUCCUUGGACCACCAGAAUGGAAAAAAAGGUUUUCUUUAGCCAUUAUUAUCCCUAGAUCUGAGGGAAAUGCACUUCUUUCUUUUCCACUCACAGUGGCCUUUUUUUCCACCCUGCUAGACAGCAACACAACUGUGAAAGUGAAAGGCAAAUUCUAUUUUAGGACAGGUGGCCUUUUGCUCUUUUCUUAUUCCUCUAUUCCCACCCUAAGACUGAUAACCACUUUAAGUCCUACUAUAACUCAGAUGACAACAGAUUCCACAUGGGUAUUUCUGUUGUUGCUUCUUGACGUCUCAGUUAAAGUCUUGAAAAAGGAUGGAAAAUCCUUCACACAGAGAAACUGUAUCAAUCUGACCCCUGCAUUGACUCUGUAUGAAGAACAGCUUAGCAGGCUUUAUUGUCCUGUGGAGUUUUCAAAAGAAAUUGUGUGCAUUCCCAUCUACAUGGAAUCAUAGGUAUUCUAUACUAUUUGGAAGAAACAAACUGACAUAUGAAUGUCAAGAUUAUUAGCGAUUAUCCUAAAUGUACAUGCUGUAUAGAGUGUAUAGGUGGGCCCCUGCUGCAUAUUGGCAGAAUGAACCUUUACAUUAUAUGCUGUAGAUGUUCCUGAAACUUAGUCAUGCUAUUGAUUGUGAAUUCUUUAAAAGAUUUUUUUUUCUUAUUAUUUUAACUUAAAAGCAAAAAAAAGUAGUGUGGGAUGGUUUCUUUCCUGGAGGGCUGACAUAAGAGACCGCUAACCAUAACCUUAUGUUCUCAGUUUGGUCUGGAUAGUUAGUUCAAAAUGCUAAAAGGUGUGAUUAUAAUCACCUUUUCUAUCUGACAUAUGACAGCAUGAAUGUAGACUAACAGUGGCUAGGUAAUGUUCUUCCCCUCUCCUCCAUAACAUCCAUUUUUUAAUAUCUUUUUCUUUCUUAGUUUUGUUGCACUGAUAAAGAUCUCCUGUGGUGAAAUUCAGGCUAAAACUAAAAAACAGAACAACCCCUGUGCAGCUCUUACUUGUGCUCUCUUAUGAAGAAAAGAUUUUUAGAACUAGCAAGGGAGGAACAAACAGACAUGUCCAUUGUUUCAAAGCCUUGUCUUUCAAUUUAAAAAAAAAACCAAACACACAAACAAAAGACCAACAACAACAAAAAAGCCUUACACCUUUAAGUUAACACAUCUAUUUCAUUUCACAGAUUAUAUCAAUGCAUAAAAAAAAAAAAAAAAAAUCUAGUAAUUUCUGGAAUGUGAAUUUUUCCCCUUCAUUUCAUUUAUGCGUCUGUGUGCAAGGUGGACAAAGAAGAGGUCAGCAAUCAGGUAGAUAAGCUACAGAGAGUAUCCACACUAUGUAGCAUUUUAAGCAAAAUUAUGACAUUCUUGUAAUGGACUUUUAUUUUCCUAACAAAGGAAGAAACUUUCAGCAGCUUCAGUAUAUCUAUUAUUUAUUCUGUGGUCUGACAUAUUGUCCAUGCUGCAAUUAAGCCAAGUGAAAAAGAGUACUGUCACAAGGCUCUCAUCAUGGUCCAUCCCUCAGUAUAAGCUAAAUACCACAAUAGAUGGUCCUGUCUCCUCAGACCUGCAAGAUUAACUGUGCACUUGCUCACUCAUACACGGUUUCAACCAAAACAGUCAGUGCUAGAAAAACAUAUUGUUCUUCCAUCAGACCAGGAUGUGUCAGCCUUGUCUAAGCUGCAUCACUCCCCAACAGAAAAAAUACUUUCACCCAUAACAACCCAAAAAGUAAUCCCAAACCAGCAGUCUUCUGUGCCUGGUCAAAUUUGUAACACAGGCUUUUCAGAAUUCUAGCUAAUGCAUAUUUCAUAACAAUCAGAACCUUCUGCUUUUGGACACUAAAAGUAGUGUUUAAGCUAGAUCCAGUAAAACGUAUCUUGUUUCACUUUAGCACACAAGCCUUUUUUAUGUAUUCUCCUUGCACCUCAGAUACCAAAUGUUAAAAUAUAAAAUAAAACUGCUUACAACAGACAAUAAUCACUGUUACAUUUACUCAGAUUUUUAUAAAAAUUAAAAACAAAUACAAAGGCAGCAAGAAAACAAUCACUGUAGUUCUUUCUGCAAUACUGUAUUCCAUAAGAGUUCAAGGUAGCACAGAUUGAUCUUGCUCUAACACAAAUCUUGCAUGUCUGUUGAGCUGAAACCUUCUGCUACAAAAUCUCUGAUGAGAAAUAAAUAAUGUGGAACAUGUAGGUGACAUUUUACAGGGUCAAUUUUCCAGCCAUUAAAAGGUAAUUCCUUCACUGUUGCCUAUUCAUUGCUGUCCAGCUAUUUCAAAUGUUCUCAAAUGUGAAAUGAAAUCUCACUUGCCCUUUAUUUGGAAAGAAAAUUUGAAGGAAAAAAAGUAUACCUGUAUACAAGAAUUGUCUGAGCUGAUUUUCAUAUUACACACACUCAGGUAGGACAGGAGUAAAUCCACAGUACUCUAUACAGUGAUAUUUGUAUGAGCAAUGUGUUGGGAAUGAAAUAAAAACUGGAAAUGUAUUUUCCACCAGUGCAUGAUAGAUAUUUGUAAACAUUUAUUAAAAAAAUUUAAAAUAAAGUGCUAUUGAUUCUAUUUUGAAGUUUCUUCUUUAGUAAAAAGCUACAUCUUGACAAGAAAAGAUACGUCUUGGCAUUGAUAACAUGUGAGGUGAAUUGGACAUCAAAGAACACAUCCUAACUAAAAAGGAAAUAUAGCUUUCUCCUCUUAAUUAAUGACUAUCAGCCAUUACAUUUCAGAAAUUAGAAGUCAGUUAAAUAAAAGUGUCAUACAAAAUGGGCAUUUUUUUGACAUCUCAUCAACACCAUAUUCGUUCUCAUGUGGUAUUGAAGUCACAGAAGCUAAAGAAAGGGAUGAAAGCAGUAUAUGCAACAUAUAGUCCCACUGAGAGUAUACCAUCCUGCAACAAUCUCACUAUAUCACAGAAUCACAGAAUGGUUGGCAUUGGAAGGGACCUCUGGAGAUAUCUAGUCCAAUCUACCUGAUAAAUCGGGUUCACGCAGAGCAGAUCACACAGGAAUGCGUCCAAGUGGGUUUUGAAUGUCUCCAGAGGAUAAUCCGCAGCCUCUCUGGGCAGCCUGUUCCAGUGCUCUCUCACCCUCAAAGUAAAGAAGUUUCUCCUCAUGUUUAGACGGAACCUUCUAUGUUUCAGUCUGUGUCUGUUGCCCCUCAUCCUAUUGUUGGGCACCGCUGAAAAGAUUCUGGUCCCAUCCUCCUGAUGCCCACCCUUCAGAUAUUUAUAAGCAUAAAUAAGAUCCCCUCUCAGCCUUCUCCAGGCUGAACAGACCCAGCUCUCUCCAUCUUCCUCUUCAUCUCCAUCUUCAGAGCCCUAAUCAUCUUCGUAGCCCUCCACUGCCCUCCCUCCAGUAACUCCCUGGAGAACCCCACUAACUACAGGCUUCCAAACACACUCUGCACCACUGGUCACAAACCUCUGAGCUCUGCCAUCCAGCCAGUUCCUGAUCCAUCUCACUGCAUUCAUCCAACCCACACUUCUUGAGCUUGCCUCCGAGAAUGCUGUGAGACAAUGUGAAAAGCCUUGCUGAAGUCAAAGUAGACAACAUCCACUGCUCUCUCCCCACCUACCUAGCCAGUCGUAUCAUCAUAUAAGGCUAUGAUGUUGGCCAAACAUGAUUUCCCCUUAGUGAAUCCAUGUUGACUACUCCUGAUAACCUUCUUUUCCUCCACAUGCUUGGAGAUGAUGUCCAAAAUGAUUUAUACUUUUGUUACCUGUGGAAUAAGCAGGACAGCAGUCACUAGUUAUUUAUCCUUAGUUUCAUUGAAAAGGCUUAACUGUACCUUGAUGACAGCAAAUACUUGUUUUCCUAACAAUAAAUGCACAGAAGAAACAUGUAACAUGGUUCAUUUAUAUGUAUUUACAAACAGAAGAACAAUAUGGCCUUGUUUUUAGUGACAUCAAUUACAAGUUACACAUGGGAGUGCAUUUAUAGUCACUAAUGCAUGUUGAAUAUGCUGGUAUAGUAUGGAUUUUGCUUUUGCCACUAUUCCCUAUCUUCCACCUGUUGAGAAAGAGACAAGUCUUCUCUUGAAUUUGAACAGCCAUGGCUUGAUCUGCCACUGAUAAUAAAUGUUUUUGGUGGGUAUCACACUUGACUAAUUCAGUAGGAUCAGGAAGAAACCUGCAAAUACCCCUUAUGCAUAAAAGCAAACAAUUUUUUAUUGCUUCUGAAAAUCUUAGAUCAAAAUGGCAUGGGAAAGCUGGGGAAUAUAUUAAAAUGGAUGUUCAUUUCUCUCUACCUAAUUUCCUUGGAAAAAGUAUUAAAUACUCAAGGUUUCUUCAAAAUAUAGAUUAUCUGAUGCCAAAAAACUUAACAAGCCAGUCUCUGUAUCUUUAUUCCCCCUAAAAUUCACAGAUUUUAUUUUUAAACUUGGCAAACAUAUCCAGUUCAAUGGAAUCAGUCUUUUAAUUCAGACGGGAAAAAUUCACCCAUUUCAUAAUUUUACACAGUACAGAGAUUAUCUGGCUUGAGCUUAAACUGUAAAAAAUAUCCUUAAAAAAAUGUCAUAUUGGACUUCAAUGAUUCUUGUCUUAGCAUGUUCUCUCCUAAACAGAAACAAUAACAAAAAAACCAAACCAAACUAAAGAAAUAUUAGAAAAGGAAAGCAAACAAAAAAACAAACAAACAAAAAGUAGUAGAAGAAGAAAUAAACUGAAACAGGAAUAAGGUAUAUGCUGCUGCAUUGGAUUCAUAGACUCCAUCAUUGUUAAAGGAGAGCAGAAUUCGCACUUGCCAUUGAGAUGUUGAUACUAAUGUUGUUGAGGGUAUCUGUCUUCCAUUCUGUUCCAUCAUUCUCACUGUUCUGUCUCUUUUGCACUAACAAGAAAAAAGUAAAGCAAAAUGUAAACAGAUAAGACCCUAUGAAUGGGAAACAAACUGGGUAAAAAUAAGACAGCAUCAUUUUUUAUCAGCAACUGAUCAGGGAAGGGCCUUCCACAGCCAAAAAAAAAAAAAAAAAAAAAAAAAAAUUUUAAAAAAAAUAUAUAUAUAUAUAUAUAUGUAUAUAUAUAUAUAUAUAUAAGAAAAUAAAUAGAGAAUAUCUCAUGUAGUCUUUGGGGACAGGAACCCUCCCUUUCCCCAACAACCAAACAGGUUUUGUUGUGACAAAAUUUAGCCUAUCUUACAGAUAUACCAGAACUGACAAGACAAAGGAGCUUUAAUUUAAAGCUUAUUCCUCUGUGUCCAAAAGAGCCUGUAUAGUCUAUUAAAGUAAUUUAGAAUAAUUCUUCCUGCUAUGAAGUGAAUCUGGACUACCACUAGUAAAUGUCAGAGUUGCAUUUACUAUCUUGUGAAGAGAUACAAUGCUGAGUGGUGAAGAGAUAUGUAGGAACUAUUUUUUAAAUAACAAGUCAUUAGAAGACAAAAUUAGAAUCCUUUUUAAAGGUAAUUUAUAGUAACAAGAAAACAAUAAUUCAAAGCCUAGAAAAAGGAAUCUUGGUACAGAUCCAGAUCCAGGUGAACAAAGAGAUAUAUAUGAGUUUACAGUUAAUUAGGAGAAAAAUACAUAGAAUAUGGAAAUAAAGAUGUAAGAGGGAAUAAAUUCUAUUUCUUCUCUUAUUGGAAUCCCCAUCAAAGCCAAGACUGCAAUUAUAAUAUGCAGUCUGGUGCUGGUGGCACAUGAUUUAUUUAAAAUUCAGGAUUAGAUGGUGAGGAAAGCACAGGAAUUAUACCAUGUGAUUCACUCUAGCAGGGAUUUUCAUGUUAGUUACAGCAAAAGAAAAUGAAACAAUCUAUUAGAAGGCUUGACAUCAAAUUUUAAGAUAAAUUAGGAGAAAAAAAAAAAUGGAAAGAGCCAAUCCAGAAAGUGCAAAGAUUCCUACCUCGGUAUUUUUCUUGCUCCAAUAUCAAGUAUAUUUUUUACAGAGUUAAGUUUCAGGGUCAUCCAGCAAGACACAAGCACAAAAUGGCAAAAUCUGCAAUAUGAGGAUAAUUCACAUUGAGAUAGAUAGAUACAUAGAUAGAUAGAUAGACAGAUAGAUAGAUAGAUAGAUAGAUAGACAGACAGAUAAAGCAGUUCUUUAACAGAUAUCAACUAUUUUUUUAAACAAGAAAAUAUAUGCUGUCCCUGCUUAGCUAAUCUAUGACACUGAGACUUUAGAGUGAGCAUUGAAAACCUAAGGAGCUCUGGGCUCCUACAUGAAGCUUGUCCAGAGCUCCGUAUUGGCAGCAGGGUCUGUAGAUAUGGCUUGACAGUUACUCUUGUAAUUUCUCCUCAUCUUUCCAUUGCCUCUUCCUAAGCCAUCAUGGGUUGGUUUGCUGAGUUCAAAGGAAGAUGAAGUACUAAUAUUUUGCUUUUUCUUCAAGGGUUUUUGUGUCAGAAUGCAAACCCCCCUCUCUCCCCCUCUCUUCCUUUGAUAUGGAAGGCAUAGACACAUCUCCCUCUCUCUCUGCUGCUUGAGGCUAACAGCUUCUUUUGUUUGACCCCAGAGCCCCAUGGUCAGGGUCGUUAAGAGAGACCAGAAGGGAGUGCAGGUGCCAGGGAGCUGCUGGGCGCCGGCCAGUGUGGGGGAUGGUUGGAAGCUUCAGGGGCACCCCACAGCCAGUGCUGGUGCAGAGAAGCUUCUGGAAUGCCUACAGUCAGAUCUGAUCAGGCAAUAAAAAUGGGAUUCUCACCGAGGCCUGUUCCUUGCGUGCGACCUCUUGGAGUUACGAGCUGAGCUGCUGCCACCAGGAGACACUUCCCCACCCCUGCCCCAGGACAGAGGCUCCACUUGCCUUGCCGCCAUGUGUGUGAGUAAAAUUAACCCUCGCAGGAUUGUGAGUGUAUCUAAUUUCCAUGCACAUUUGCAUGUGUAUUUACACUUUCCAUGCACAUUUGCAUGCAUACUUUCUGUGCUCAAUACGAGCACGUGUAUAAAUUAUUUCCUCGCAUAAUCACGAGUGUAUUUUCCUCCCGUGCCUCCACAUAAGCAUGUGUAAUACUCUGUGCGUAUUUGCACAUGUAUUUCUCCUCACAGGGUUGCGAGUGUAUUAUGAAUUAAUCCUCACAGAAUUGUGAGUGUACACUUUCUGUACUCAAUACGAGUAUGUGUAUCCCUUUAAAAUAAUCCAACACUGUGUUCAGGCGUGUACUCUUCCUGGGCUCAGGGACGGCGCUGGCAUUGUUUUUGGUGAAGCCACGUGCAUGCACACUGUGGACCUCCUGUUGUAUUAGUUGCUGCCCCUUAAUAAUUACC